rnacentral:rRNA from 1 species
GACAUAGGUGGCGAACGUUAUCCGGAAUUAUUGGGCGUAAAGGAUGCGUAGAUGGUAGAAUAAGUUAUUGGUCGAUGCCAAACUCAAUUUGGCGGAAGCUGGUAAUACUGUUCAGCUAGAGGGCAGGAGAGGUUGAUGGAAUUCUGUGUGGAGCGGUGAAAUGCGUUGAUCUGCAGAGGAACACCAAAAAAGCGAAGGCAGUCAACUAUUCUGUUCCUGACAUUGAGGCAUGAAAGCGUGGGGAGCAAACCGG